UUAUUUAUUUUAUUUUUUUUUAUUUAUUUAUGGAGUAAUUAUUUAUAUAUAUUUGAUAAAUUUUUGACUUUUUUAUUUACCAUGCACUUUUAUAAGACUAACAUUAAAAAUACUUUUUUAGCAUUUUAAGUUAUUUCAAAUAUACCCAAAAUUAAAUUUUGUUAGUAAACGAUUAGCAACAGCCGUUAUUUCUGUAAAAUUAAUAUUUUGUCCUUUUGAAUAUACUCUUCUAUGGUUAUCGACCUUUCUUAUUUGCCUUUAAGUUAGGAGCAAAAUAAGUAUAUUUUGAUUUUUGCUCUUUUCAAAUAUACCCUUCUGUUAUCAUCAACUUUUCUUAUUUGUCUUUAAGUUAGGAGCAAAAGAAAUGUUUUAAUUUUUUUUUUGGGAAAACUUCAAAAACCCUCCCUGUGGUUUCGUGCAUUCUCACUUUGCUACCCUAUGGUUUAAAACGUAUCAUUUUGCCCCCCUGUGGUUUCGUUUUUAUCUUUUUGUUAUCAAUUUUAUUAUUAUUAUUUUUUAAAAUCAGUGACAAAGUUAAAAUUAAAGGAUACUAAAGUGACUAUUCGAUAAAUAUAGAUGGUUAUCUGAAGUUUUUUGUAUAUAAUUUAACGAAAUAUUAACGAAAAAGCUUCCGAAAAGAUAAAAAUGAAACCACAGGGGGGUAAAUUGAUACGUUUUAAACCACAGGGUAGCAAAGUGAGAAUGCACGAAACCACAGGGGGGGUUUUUGAAGUUUUUCCUUUUUUUUUUAACUCCGAUAGAACUUUAACAAAGGUUUAAUUCGAGAUAGCUUAACGGGUACUAACAGCGAAGGCAUUUUUGAAUAACAGAGAAAUAUACGCGGAGUAUAUUUGAAACAAAAAAAAAAAAAGGGUAUAUUAGAUAUUUUAUAAGUUUUCAGGAACAUAUUAGAUAUAAUUCCUUUAUCUUUUACGGAGAUGGAGUGGUCUCCUUGUCAUUACGAAGGGAGAAAAAAUUGUGAAUUGAAUAAAAUUUAUUCAUGUAUGUAGUUUAGCAUAUUUUUAUUUUAUCAUUCGAUAGUUUCAAAAACUUUAUUACGAAAAUAAAAUGAGUUAAUUUGAAGCGGAAUCAUAUAAACUAGUUCAGGGCCCGCGCUUCAUAGCGGAUCGAUAGUAUUUCAGUCAAUCAACAUAUAUAAUUAUUUAAGUUUUAAAAUUUAAAAAUAUAAUAAGAAAUAAAAAAAAUUCAUAUAGCCUUCCAUACAUUAUAAAUCUAAUCUUUUUUUAUUAAUAUUUUUAACUUUCAGUAUUUGUA
rnacentral:lncRNA from 1 species